GGUAUGUUCUUCCCUUUCUCUAUCCUCUCUCUCCCCGACGAAAUCCUCUGAGAUUAAUCUCUCUCUCUCUCUCCGGCGAAUACUCGCUCUUUCCACCAUCACGUCGGCGAAUGGAAUUGGAAUUGAAUCUCCGACGCACGAGCUAGAUCUCCGACGCGCGACGCCGAUUGGUAAGCCAUAAUAAGUCCUACGACAACCUCACACCCAAAUCGAUCGACCUCUUCUCCGCCUGUUACCUCUCAAUCCACUCUCAGACCAACGACCUCCUCACCUUCCUCGAGUCAACUCUCGAACCUGACUCCAUCUUUGCCAGUGACCACAAGAACUGGAAAUCCCGCUGCUUCGGCCGCAUCCAGUUCACCACCCUAGCCCACAAAGCCAUAGCUCAGUCUUUCUCCUCCUCCGCGGACCUUGGGGCAAGAAGUCUACACCCUCUUCCAAUUUCAACCCACCAGAGAUCCAGAUGGAGAUGAUGAACCAGCAUUCCAGUUUCGGGUUUUGGACUCAGCUAAUGUGGGAAAGAAGACAUCUUUCACUUGUUUUUUUUUUGUCGUCCUCUGAUAUUGAGAAAAAUGUGAAGCAGUAGACGCCAUGUCGCUUGGGACCAAACAUAUCAAUCCAACUCCCACAAGCUGUGGAGAAGAAUAAGCACCCACUACAACUUAGAGACCUCCGUCACAGAAAAUUAGGUAAGGAAUACCAGUGUGUGGUCAGAGCAGAAAGGGAGUGAAGAAAUGGGAGAUUUGUACGUUUUGGGUUCGGCGGGUUGAGUUAAUGCUCUGCUUUUGAAGUUGGAUAAUUGGAACUUUGUACUCUCUGAAAGCCCGACAUUUUGGAGAAGAGAAGAGAACGAGAGAGAGAGAGAGAGGGAAGAACAGACCCAAAAAGAAGAAAAAGAAAAUCUGACUUUUGAGGAUAGUUUGGGAAGUUCAAAAAGACUUGAGAUGAAAUAUUAUUAAAAAAAUAAAAAUGGGUGUGAUAUGCAAUUUUGGGGGUGCAUUCCCGCCUAUCAUGGUGGCAAAAUUUUAAGCUCAACUUAAAAUCCCGCCCACUUUACUUUCACAUUUCCCCUCAUCGAUUCAAUGAUAAUAAAAGAAAGGGAUAGUUUCCACUAUUGUUGAAUUACUCCCUCUCUCUCUCUCUCUCUGUUCCUCCCUUCCGGCCUAUCGAAGGAGCUCAAAUCCAAAGUCCGAGCAAUGCAAAUUCGCUUAGCACGAAUGAUAUGAGAAUGAACACGCACGAAGUGUUAAAGAGACGAGCCCAUCACAUGCAGUUGUAGUAAUCGACAGUGGUGGAGGAGUCAGAGUCAUCAGGACGCAGAGCAAGGUCCAGAGGCAAAAAGUGAGGCGACCCAAUUCCAGGUAUACACAGACACUUUUAAGUUUCAUCAUCGCUUUGUCAUUUGUGUUUUUCCAGUUCUCCCUUUUAUUCUGCUUAUCGUGAGAGAGAAUCUAACCUGGGUCUACUUUCUGUUAUGGCCAGACCGGUCCUAUUCCGGUCGAACUCCUCCUAGACCAUCAAACCGCUGCUUUAAGUUUGCGUCUGAAGCAGUCCUGCAUCUCUGUUAUUUCCGUGAUUCUCAAUUUGGUAUACUGUUUCUUUUUGUUUCCUCUCUUCAUAGGUUUAUAGAGCUUUCAAGCUUAGAUGGAUGCUAUUACGGGCGUCUCAUGAUCGGACAAUCAUGUAUAUGUAGUAUAGGUACAAACUUCUUUUUAUAUCAAUUUGGGUUCAGUCAUGAUGAAUUAUUGUUGUUUAAUCUUUGGCUUGUGUUCCGUUUGUCAAUUCAGAUAUGUUCAUGAUUUUCUUAAAUUUGGAGCUAAAUAAUAAACCUUCAAUGGCUUCUAACAAUUCACAAUACCAAUAAUCUCAAUUCGGAAGUAAAUUGGUUAAAUGGUGAUAAUAUGAUUGUUUUUAGUUUUAUAAUAUUGAAAGUGUCAUUGGAUUCUAUGCAUCAACGUUACUGUAUUAUUUCUUGUCAAAUGCUAAAUUUGUGGAUUUUGUGUAUUUGAUUGAGGGUUUUUUGUGUUUCAAGGCCAAAAACUCAGAAAUAUUGUAUUUGACUGCAAUCUCUGGCUCUGUAGGCAUUGUAUGACAGGUCAUUACUGCCAUCAAAAGCAGUAAUGAUUGGAAUUAGGUUCGCUUUCUACUCUGUAUGAUCAAUAUGGCAUUGUGAUUGGAAUGUAGAUUAAUGCAUCUGGUCUCUAAGUUGUGUCUGUUUAAUUGAUAUCUGCCUUAGUUGAUUUAUCAGUUUCCAUAUGGGUUCUUGUUUUAUGUCUGACAGUUUUGGCUUAUGAUCAGAAUCUACAAAUGGAAUUCUGAUCCAGCUCAAUAUGAAAGUUUAUGGAAUGUAAUCAAGUGAUUCACUGUUUAUGGGAAUGUAAUCAAUUGAUUCACUGCUGGAGCUGAUUUAAGUGAAAAUGUCGUGCAUUGGUGGAUGAAAUUAAUGCACUGAUGGAUCCUUUGAAUCUAUCAAAUGGAGACAUGUUGGUAGAGAAUGCAAUUAUGCUUCACACAGAAUUGCCGAGGAAGCAGAACUGCUGUGGCUUAGUUAUGCUCUUGAUGUAGAUGCUUCAUAUGUUUGCUAAUGUCUGGGCGUAGACCUCAAUUUUGAGGCCAUAUUAGCCCCUAUGAUGUAAUUCUGUUAUGUAAUUACUCUGCUUUUAUCAAUGAAAUAUCUUAUUC